CCGGCGAUGUCCGAAUGGGGAAACCCAGUGCAAUUCGUUGCACUAUCGUUAACUGAAUACAUAGGUUAACGAGGCGAACCGGGGGAACUGAAACAUCUAAGUACCCCGAGGAAAAGAAAUCAACCGAGAUUCCCCCAGUAGCGGCGAGCGAACGGGGAGCAGCCCAGAGUCUGAAUCAGCUUGUGUGUUAGUGGAACGGUCUGGAAAGUCCGACGGUACAGGGUGAUAGUCCCGUACACCAAAAUGCACAGGCUGUGAACUCGAAGAGUAGGGCGGGACACGUGGUAUCCUGUCUGAAUAUGGGGGGACCAUCCUCCAAGGCUAAAUACUCCUGACUGACCGAUAGUGAACCAGUACCGUGAGGGAAAGGCGAAAAGAACCCCGGCGAGGGGAGUGAAAAAGAACCUGAAACCGUGUACGUACAAGCAGUGGGAGCACCUUCGGGUGUGACUGCGUACCUUUUGUAUAAUGGGUCAGCGACUUAUAUUCUGUAGCAAGGUUAACCGUAUAGGGGAGCCGCAGGGAAACCGAGUCUUAACUGGGCGUUAAGUUGCAGGGUAUAGACCCGAAACCCGGUGAUCUAGCCAUGGGCAGGUUGAAGGUUGGGUAACACUAACUGGAGGACCGAACCGACUAAUGUUGAAAAAUUAGCGGAUGACUUGUGGCUGGGGGUGAAAGGCCAAUCAAACCGGGAGAUAGCUGGUUCUCCCCGAAAGCUAUUUAGGUAGCGCCUCGUGAAUUCAUCUUCGGGGGUAGAGCACUGUUUCGGCUAGGGGGUCAUCCCGACUUACCAACCCGAUGCAAACUACGAAUACCGAAGAAUGUUAUCACGGGAGACACACGGCGGGUGCUAACGUCCGUCGUGAAGAGGGAAACAACCCAGACCGCCAGCUAAGGUCCCAAAGUCAUGGUUAAGUGGGAAACGAUGUGGGAAGGCACAGACAGCCAGGAUGUUGGCUUAGAAGCAGCCAUCAUUUAAAGAAAGCGUAAUAGCUCACUGGUCGAGUCGGCCUGCGCGGAAGAUGUAACGGGGCUAAACCAUGCACCGAAGCUGCGGCAGCGACACUAUGUGUUGUUGGGUAGGGGAGCGUUCUGUAAGCCUGCGAAGGUGUGCUGUGAGGCAUGCUGGAGGUAUCAGAAGUGCGAAUGCUGACAUAAGUAACGAUAAAGCGGGUGAAAAGCCCGCUCGCCGGAAGACCAAGGGUUCCUGUCCAACGUUAAUCGGGGCAGGGUGAGUCGACCCCUAAGGCGAGGCCGAAAGGCGUAGUCGAUGGGAAACAGGUUAAUAUUCCUGUACUUGGUGUUACUGCGAAGGGGGGACGGAGAAGGCUAUGUUAGCCGGGCGACGGUUGUCCCGGUUUAAGCAUGUAGGCUGGUUAUCCAGGCAAAUCCGGAUAAUCAAGGCUGAGGUGUGAUGACGAGGCACUACGGUGCUGAAGUAACAAAUGCCCUGCUUCCAGGAAAAGCCUCUAAGCAUCAGGUAACAUCAAAUCGUACCCCAAACCGACACAGGUGGUCAGGUAGAGAAUACCAAGGCGCUUGAGAGAACUCGGGUGAAGGAACUAGGCAAAAUGGUGCCGUAACUUCGGGAGAAGGCACGCUGGUGUGUAGGUGAAGUCCCUGCGGAUGGAGCUGAGACCAGUCGAAGAUACCAGCUGGCUGCAACUGUUUAUUAAAAACACAGCACUGUGCAAACACGAAAGUGGACGUAUACGGUGUGACGCCUGCCCGGUGCCGGAAGGUUAAUUGAUGGGGUUAUCCGUAAGGAGAAGCUCUUGAUCGAAGCCCCGGUAAACGGCGGCCGUAACUAUAACGGUCCUAAGGUAGCGAAAUUCCUUGUCGGGUAAGUUCCGACCUGCACGAAUGGCGUAAUGAUGGCCAGGCUGUCUCCACCCGAGACUCAGUGAAAUUGAACUCGCUGUGAAGAUGCAGUGUACCCGCGGCAAGACGGAAAGACCCCGUGAACCUUUACUAUAGCUUGACACUGAACAUUGAGCCUUGAUGUGUAGGAUAGGUGGGAGGCUUUGAAGCGUGGACGCCAGUCUGCGUGGAGCCAACCUUGAAAUACCACCCUUUAAUGUUUGAUGUUCUAACGUUGGCCCCUGACCGGGGUUGCGGACAGUGUCUGGUGGGUAGUUUGACUGGGGCGGUCUCCUCCCAAAGCGUAACGGAGGAGCACGAAGGUUAGCUAAUCCUGGUCGGACAUCAGGAGGUUAGUGCAAUGGCAUAAGCUAGCUUGACUGCGAGCGUGACGGCGCGAGCAGGUGCGAAAGCAGGUCAUAGUGAUCCGGUGGUUCUGAAUGGAAGGGCCAUCGCUCAACGGAUAAAAGGUACUCCGGGGAUAACAGGCUGAUACCGCCCAAGAGUUCAUAUCGACGGCGGUGUUUGGCACCUCGAUGUCGGCUCAUCACAUCCUGGGGCUGAAGUAGGUCCCAAGGGUAUGGCUGUUCGCCAUUUAAAGUGGUACGCGAGCUGGGUUUAGAACGUCGUGAGACAGUUCGGUCCCUAUCUGCCGUGGGCGCUGGAGAAUUGAGGGGGGCUGCUCCUAGUACGAGAGGACCGGAGUGGACGCAUCACUGGUGUUCGGGUUGUCAUGCCAAUGGCACUGCCCGGUAGCUAAAUGCGGAAGAGAUAAGUGCUGAAAGCAUCUAAGCACGAAACUUGCCCCGAGAUGAGUUCUCCCUGAGACUUUAAGUCUCCUGAAGGAACGUUAAAGACGAUGACGUUGAUAGGCCGGGUGUGUAAGCGCAGCGAUGCGUUGAGCUAACCGGUACUAAUGAACCGUGAGGCUUAACCUUACAACGCCGAAG
rnacentral:rRNA from 1 species